rnacentral:lncRNA from 1 species
AUAUCUUUCUUCAUGCCACUCCACCAAUAGAUUUCCCACAAGUCUCGGUACAUCUUGGUGGCACCAGGAUGAAUAGAAUAUCUUUCCCCGUGCGCUUCAGCCAUAAUCCUCUAUCUCAGAUCAUCAACAUUUGGGACGCACAAUCUACCCUGCAAUCUCAACACACCAUCUCCCCCUUGGGAGAAAACCUCUAAUUUUUGGUCCUUGACUGACUCCUUCAGUCUGACCAAACUAGCAUCUAAGUAUUGCCUUUCCUUCACUUCCGAAACCAAAG